GUGAGGAUAGCUUAAUCGGUAGAGCGCCAGGUUGUGGCCCUGGUGGGUGGCGGUUCGAAUCCGCUUCCUCACCCCA
rnacentral:tRNA from 1 species